GCGGGCCCUCGGCGCCGUCAGUCAGGGAGGCGCCGCCUCUUCCGGGCCUUUCCGGCUGGGCCGCCGCCUCCUCCUCUCUCGCUCGCUCUCUCCCUUUUGUGAGUUAUAGCAACCGUUGCCUUGUGAAUCAAGCGCCAUAGUCACCGUAGUCCUGGCGACUGUUACCCAUCAACAACAACCGCUCCUCUCCUGCUCCUCCUCCUCCUCCUGCUGCUCCUCACCCCCAUCCUCACCCCCUUCCUCAUCAUCACCCACAACAACAACAACAACAACAACAGCCACCAGCAGCAACAACAACAGCAGGAACACCACCACAGUCCUCCACAGCCCAGGUGAAUAUGCUCGUUGGGCGCCCGCCUGCCCUCCCUCCUCUCUCCCUCCCCCCCAACCUCUGCCUCCCCCCCUCCUGGCAGCAUCCGGGCUGGGGCUGCUCCACUGGGCUGCACCAUUGAUCGAGGUGUAGCGAGAGGAGCGCGGGUCUCCCUGCCGGCUGCUUGCUUGCACCCCCCUCUGCUUCCCUCCUCUGCUCUGCUGCCUCCCCCCUCGCCGGCCUGCGCUGUCUGCGGGCGCACUCUGCGGCUGGGCGGCAGAGCGGGGAUGGGGGUGUCCGCUGGGCGGGGAGGGGGCCUUGCGGCCGUGCGGAGCGGAGAGCGAGCCGGGUUUGGCCAUGGCAGGGGCAGCGGCGCGCUUCUGGGGUCUCCAGGACGAUCGCGUGGAUGCGAUAGAUAUCAGUUCUGCGCCAUGCCCUACUUGAGCAGCCCUAUUACCGCAGGACAGAGUCCUAUUCAGGAUGGAAUUCCUUCUGGGUAUUGAGAUCUGUCUUUGAAGAACAUGCAUCCAGACCCCUGUGAGCAAAGAAAAUUGCACAGGCUGUGAGACAAACCUUCUGUUUGCCUCUUUGAGGAGGAGUAUGGAUGUUUCUUAAAAAUUCUAAUUAGAAGUACAUAGUCUUGUUUAAAAAACAAAGACUUUUUAGUAUUAUUUAGCUAUAUUUGCUUAAGGCAGUGGCAACAUUUUGGAAAAUAAUGAUAUAGCCAUAUCACCUCUGUUUAUUGACACUUAUUCUCUGCAAUAUUUUACUGAUCAUAGACAAGAUCUGCCUUUUGCAUUCUGAUUCCCUAAAGCCCUUAGCUAUCAGAAUAGUAGAUGUUUGUGAUGCUAACCAGUCUCUUGAAAAUAAGUGGCUUUGUGAUUUUUAUUUGGUUGUUUUCAUGGUUUGGACUGUGUAGCUAAAUAACUAUGUUUCAACAUAUCCUAAUGAUCCUUUCUGGAUUGUAUGCUGCAUUGUGCUUUUAAUCAGCUAACUUACGUUGCGCUAGUGUGGAGAGAUCUUUUCAGUGAUGGAGUGAAAAUAAAUGAACUGGGAAUCAAAGGUACA
rnacentral:lncRNA from 1 species